UGGGGAAUUUUGGACAAUGGGCGCAAGCCUGAUCCAGCCAUGCCGCGUGCGGGAAGAAGGCCUUCGGGUUGUAAACCGCUUUUGUCAGGGAAGAAAUCUUCUGAGUUAAUACCUCGGGAGGAUGACGGUACCUGAAGAAUAAGCACCGGCUAACUACGUGCCAGCAGCCGCGGUAAUACGUAGGGUGCAAGCGUUAAUCGGAAUUACUGGGCGUAAAGCGUGCGCAGGCGGUUUUGUAAGACAGAGGUGAAAUCCCCGGGCUCAACCUGGGAACUGCCUUUGUGACUGCAAGGCUUGAGUGCGGCAGAGGGGGGUGGAAUUCCGCGUGUAGCAGUGAAAUGCGUAGAUAUGCGGAGGAACACCGAUGGCGAAGGCAAUCCCCUGGGCCUGCACUGACGCUCAUGCACGAAAGCGUGGGGAGCAAACAGGAUUAGAUACCCUGGUAGUCCACGCCCUAAACGAUGUCAACUGGUUGUUGGGAAGGUUCCUUCUCAGUAACGUAGCUAACGCGUGAAGUUGACCGCCUGGGGAGUACGGCCGCAAGGUU
rnacentral:rRNA from 1 species